rnacentral:hammerhead_ribozyme from 1 species
UGCCGAAACCGAGCGUUAUGCUCGGUCUGUCGGGGACGGUCUCCCGACACUGAUGAUGGCAGACCUGA